rnacentral:rRNA from 1 species
CCUACGGGUGGCAGCAGUGAGGAAUAUUGGUCAAUGGGCGCGAGCCUGAACCAGCCACGUAGCGUGAAGGAUGACUGCCCUACGGGUUGUAAACUUCUUUUACAAAGGAAUACAGUGAGGCACGUGUGCCGCUUUGUAUGUACUUUAUGAAUAAGGAUCGGCUAACUCCGUCCCAGCAGCCGCGGUAAUACGGAGGAUCCGAGCGUUAUCCGGAUUUAUUGGGUUUAAAGGGAGCGUAGAUGGGUUGUUAAGUCAGUUGUGAAAGUUUGCGGCUCAACCGUAGAAUUGCAAUUGAUACUGGCAGCCUUGAGUACAGUUGAGGUAGGCGGAAUUCGUGGUGUAGCAGUGAAAUGCUUAGAUAUCACGAAGAACUUCGAUUGCGAAGGCAGCUUACUAAACUGCCACUGACAUUGAUGAUCGAAAGUGUGGGUAGCAAACAGGAUUAGAUACCCUAGUAGUC